rnacentral:rRNA from 1 species
GACGAACGCUGGCGGCGUGCUUAACACAUGCAAGUCGAACGGAAAGGCCCUUCGGGGUCCUCGAGUGGCGAACGGGUGAGUAACACGUGGGUGAUCUGCCCUGCACUUUGGGAUAAGCCUGGGAAACUGGGUCUAAUACCGAAUAGGACCACGCGCUUCAUGGUGUGUGGUGGAAAGCUUUUGCGGUGUGGGAUGGGCCCGCGGCCUAUCAGCUUGUUGGUGGGGUAAUGGCCUACCAAGGCGACGACGGGUAGCCGGCCUGAGAGGGUGACCGGCCACACUGGGACUGAGAUGCGGCCCAGGCUCCUACGGGAGGCAGCAGUGGGGAAUAUUGCACAAUGGGCGCAAGCCUGAUGCAGCGACGCCGCGUGAGGGAUGACGGCCUUCGGGUUGUAAACCUCUUUCACCAGGGACGAAGCGUAAGUGACGGUACCUGGAGAAGAAGCACCGGCCAACUACGUG